ACUUGUGUCAAAUAUCUGUACGCGAGAUUUCCCCCACUCCCUAAACAUCACUAGAUCCACUGUUUCCGAUGUGACAGUGAAGUGGAAAUGUGAGGGGACAUGUACAGCACAAAAUCGCACAGUCUGACCUCGUCUGUUGACUGACGACAGAGACCGCCAACAGUUGAAGAGGGUCGUAAUGUGCACUAGGCAGACGUCUAUCGAGACCAACACACAGGAAUUCCAAACUGCAUCACGAGCCACUGCAUGUACUAUGAUAGUUAGGCGAGGGUGAGAAAACUUGGAUUUCAUGGUCGAGCGGCUGCUCAUAAGCCACACAUCACGCCGGUAAAUGCCAAACGACGACUCGCUUUGUGUACGGAGCGUAAACAUUGGGCAACUGAGCAGUGGAAAAACGUUGUGUGGAGUGACGAAUUACGGUACACAAUGCGGCGAUCCGAUGGCUGGGCGUGGGUAUGGCGAAUGUCCGGGGAACGCCAUCUGCCAGCAUGUGUAGUGCCAACAGUAAAAUUUGGAGGCGGUGGUGUUGUGGUAUGGUUGUGUGUUGCUUGCACCUCUUGUUGUUUUGUGUGGCACUAUCACAGCACAAGCCUACAUUGAUCUUUUAAGCACCUUCUUGCUUCCCACUGUUGAAGAGCAAUUAGGGGGUGGUGAUUGCAUCUUUCAACAUGAUUAAGCUGCUGUUCAUAAUGCACGGCCUGUGGCAGAGUGGUUACAUGGCAAUAACAUCCUUGCAACAGACUGGCCUGUAGUCCUGACCUGAAUCCUAUAUAACACCUUUGGGAUGUUUUGGAAUGCCGACUUCAUGCCAGGCCUCACCUACCAACACUGAUACCUCUCCUCAGUGCAGCACUCCGUGAAGAAUGGGCUGCCAUUCACCAAAAAACCUUCCAGCACUUGAACUUACAUAUGCCUGCGAAAGUGGAAGCUGUCAUCAAGGCUAAGGGUGGGCCAACACCAUAUUGAAUUCCAGCAUUACUGACAGAGGAUGCCACGAACUUUUAAGUCAUUUUCAGCCAGGUAUCCAAAUAGUUUUGAUCACAUACUGUAUCAUCAAUGAGCCUGAACCAGAGCAGGGGUUUUGGGAGGAUAGGAAAGUUUCCUCCAGAUGGCCCAGGUUGCCAUAGGAGGGUGCCAUGCGGGUGCCCAUAGCUGUGCUUCAGAUUUGUUUGUAAACCUUCCGUUCAAAGGAGAAGUCGCUAUAUGUUAGGAUAAUGUUAGUUAGGUGCUGUGUCUGGAGUGAAGGAUGUUGGAAAAGUUAAUCUUUGAUUGCAGCAAGAUCAUGGGUACAAGCUAUGUUGGUGUUUACAGAUGUGGCGUCAACAGUGACCACUAGGUUGAUUUGGUUAAGGAACUGAUUAGUAUCUUCCAUGCGGGAGGCUAGAUUACAGGCAAUUUGUUGGAGGUUUUGGUCAAUGAGGGCCAAAAUUCUUUCAGUGCAGGCACAAUAACCAGCUACAAUGAUGUGGCCAGGACUGUUGAAUUUUUAAAUUUUGGGGAGCAUGUAGAAGGUGGGUUUGCAGCGUGUCAGAGGUGAGGAGGGAAAUGGACUUAGGGGAGAGGUUCUGGAAGGGCCUAAUGCUUUAAGCAUAGAUGAGAGGUUAUUUUGGACUUCUUGGAUGGGAUCAUUCUGGCAGAAUUUAUAGGUGAUGACUCAAACAAUUUUCUAAUGCUUUCCAAGAGAUAACCACUGUGACUCAUCACAACAAUGGUGGAGCCCUUGUCUGCAAGGAUGAUUAGGUCAGGAUCUGUUUCGAGAUUCUGUAUGGCUGUCCUUUCCUCUACUGAAAGGUUAGCUUUCUUAGGAAGGGGCAUGGGGAAGAAUGGUGAGGCCAAAACCCAUGCCAUCUGGAUUGUCUGCUCCACCAACAGCUUUAUUGAACUGUGCAGAUGGGAAUUUCCUUACAACACAUUCUACAUUCCAAAUUAUCCCAUCCUCAACCUACUGUCCCAACAGUUCCACCCCAUUUGUCCUAUUACUUUCUCCAUUUUCACAUAUGCCACCCCCAUUGUGUGCCACUUUCUGCCAUUGCACCCACCUGUCCUUUCCCUUCCCCUUCCUGCCCCUCUCAUCUCUUUCCCUUUUUAUCCCCUACAACCCACCUCCUGGCACUGCACUUGGCAGUCUUGUCAAGCCACCAUCUAUUCCCUGCAUGCCCCGCCAGACAACACUCUUCUCUCCCCCCACCCAUAUAAUGGAAGACUUGAAUACAAAAGUUUGCUAAGAAAAUGAAUGGCUCGAAUACAGUACCAUUGCACACAGCAUAGCAAAUACUAACGCAAAUGAUGUGUGUGCUGAGCGUGAGCUUAUCAUUGCUGGCACAGACAUCCACAUCGCAACUGCCUUAAGAUAAUGUGGGUCUCGUUACCAAAUGUCAGAAAUAAGAAAGGAGUGGAUGUCAUCAGAAGAAACCACCACCUAGUUUUGGCUGACUUCAGAUUGAAGACAGUGGCAAACAGCGCUCAAUCACAGGAGCAAAAACAUACAAGUGGUAAAGUUAAUCAAAGAAAGAUUCACCUUUAACAACAAAACAGAUUCCAGGUCCUCUCUGACAAAACUUUAUGCAUGUAGGAAGUGAAAUAGGUUGGCAAAAACUUAAAGACAGCUAUCUAGCUGUCAGAGAGACAAUAUUAGGAUUUAAGUCAUAUCAAAAGAAAGGCUGGAUCUCUGAUGACAUGUGAGAAGAAAUAGGCCACAGGAGAGAACGAAAAAGUUAAAUCUUUGCAAGACAAGAAUGUAAAACAUCAAAAUGCGUGAAGAGUACACAGAGAAAAAUGAAACAGAGAAAAUGUCUUAUCGCUACGAUAAAAGGAAUGAACAGGUGCCCAAGCACAGUUAGCAGAAGAGGCAGCAAGACUGGAAAAUAUAAAAGAAAGGAUGGGGGCUGAUUACAAAUGAAAAGGCACAGCUACAGAGAUGGGAGGAGCAGUCCCAAGAGGAACAAGUAAGGGAUAUUCCAGAGAAAGUCAUACCAGAUCAAGAUAUAAAUCUGCAGUAUCCCACAAUGGGUGAAAUUAGGAAUGCUUUGAAAAGCCUAAAAAAAGGCAAAGGCUCCAGGGCUAGACAAAAUGGCACAGAGCUGUUGAAAGCUGAUAUCAAAAGUGCCAUUAAAAUAUGCUCCACUCCUUGCUGAAGCAUGCUCCACUCCUUGCUGAAGCAUAUUUGUCUCUUAAACAUCAAAAGGAGUGGAAAAGUGGACUGGAGGUAAAACUACCAAAAAAUGGCUCAUGAUUGCCAUGGUAUUACAUAGCUGUCAGUGCCCAAUAAUGCCCUCAUUCAAUUGAAAAUAAAUUGCACAAAGAACAGGCUGGUUUUCGGGCACAACUCUUAGGAUCAUAUCAGAGCAAAGCAAAACAUUCCAGGCAACCAUGAACCUGUAUUUUGAAAAGGGCUUCAAUAGCGAUCAAGUUCUGUGGCAAGUGUUACGAAUGGGUGGUAUACCACAGAAGAUUCUAAACAUAAUCAAACAUCUGUAUAAUGACUAAAAAUGUGUACUCCAUGAGGGAAAUCUCGCAGGUCCAACAGAGGUAACAACCACAGUCUGGCAGGGUUGUAUUUUGUCACCGACACUCUUCCUACUUGUUCUUGACUCAAUUAUGAGAAGAAUCACAGUGGGCAGGAGAUGAGGAAUACAUGAACAUCUGGAGGAUUUGGAUUUUUCACAUGAUAGUUUCAAUAGCUCAAAGGCUGGUGGGUAUGAAAGUUAAAUUAAACUCACUGAGAAAAGCAGCAGAGAUUGCUAGGAUCCGGAUAAAUGCGGGUAACACAGAAAAAAUGAGAAUAAAUUCUGGGAACAUGGAAGUGCCACUGCUUGUAUGGAACCAUCAAAUUGAGAUUAGUCAGUUCAUACCUAUAUCUGGAUAGUGUGGUUGUGACAUUAUUGUUCAUUUAUUUUUUUUUGUAAAUAUUUUAUUGAAACUGUUAAAGCAGAAGUAGAGACAUCUCGUUUGAAGCGAAAUGGAUACUGAAACUCUUUGAUAGGAUUAAAGUGAAUGUACAUAUUAAGAAAAAGGGUGUAAUAUUUACUUUUAAAUAUUGUAAAGAUAUCUAUUUGUUAUAAUUAUUAAAUGUAAAAAGGUGCUAUAAUGUAAUUAUCUGUAGUAGUUACUGGCACUCACUUAGGGCUGUAUGAGAUAUGUGUAGUAUAAAAGAUGGAGGAACGGAAAGCUGUGUAAGUGUAGGAAAAGGUGGGAGCGGAAACGUUUGGCGCGCUUUGGCAGGCGCAAACAAAGUCAGUCGGUGGCCAGAGAUCUUAGAGGCAGCACAUACAGUGCCAGCAUAGUGUGGAGUGUGCCAUAUUGUUGCAUCUUGCCUUGGUAUCAUCGCUAUGAAGAGGAAAUAAGUCUGACAUGGAUAACUGCUCUUGGCCGCUCUGAUAUUAAUGCAGUUGUUUGCCACCAUCGCUGAUCACAGCUUACAGGGUACGACAUUUUAGCUAUGUAUUAUAGUGUGUGCCAGGAAGUUAAAAUGUGCUUUUAGAAUAAUAACCAUCAUCCAAAUUAACAA